rnacentral:rRNA from 1 species
GACGAACGCUGGCGGCGUGCUUAACACAUGCAAGUCGAACGGAAAGGCCCUGCUUUUGUGGGGUGCUCGAGUGGCGAACGGGUGAGUAACACGUGAGUAACCUGCCCUUGACUUUGGGAUAAAUUCAGGAAACUGGGGCUAAUACCGGAUAGGAGCUCCUGCUGCAUGGUGGGGGUUGGAAAGUUUCGGCGGUUGGGGAUGGACUCGCGGCUUAUCAGCUUGUUGGUGGGGUAGUGGCUGACCAAGGCUUUGACGGGUAGCCGGCCUGAGAGGGUGACCGGCGACAUUGGGACUGAGAUACGGCGCAGACUCCUACGGGAGGCAGCAGUGGGGAAUAUUGCACAAUGGGCGGAAGCGUGAUGCAGCAACGCCGCGUGCGGGAUGACGGCCUUCGGGUUGUAAACCGCUUUCGCCUGUGACGAAGCGUGAGUGACGGUAAUGGGUAAAGAAGCACCGGCUAACUACGUG